GCCGACGUAGCUCAGGGGUAGAGCAACUCAUUCGUAAUGAGUAGGUCCGCGGUUCAAUUCCGCGCGUCGGCACCA
rnacentral:tRNA from 1 species